GAUCUCGAGAAGAAAAUGAAGUUAGCAGGUUAUGUACCUGAUCUCGACUCUUCAUUACACGACGUAGGAGAGGAACAGAAAGAGCAGCUACUUCUGUGGCACAGUGAGAAGUUAGCCAUUGCCUUUGGUUUAAUGAAAUUGCCACCAGAAAUGCCAAUUAGGAUAUUCAAGAACCUCAGAAUUUGUGGUGAUUGCCACCAAGCCACUAAAGUUAUAUCAGCAAUAGAAAC
rnacentral:misc_RNA from 1 species